GGACUCGCACAAGCGGUGGAGCAUGCGGUUUAAUUCGAUGCAACGCGAAAAACCUUACCAGGUCUUGACAUCCCACUGACAGGUCUAGAGAUAGACCUUCUCUUCGCGGGGCAGUGGUGACAGGUGGUGCAUGGUUGUCGUCAGCUCGUGUCGUGAGAUGUUGGGUUAAGUCCCACAACGAGCGCAACCCUUAUCAUUAGUUGCUAACAUUAAGUUGAGAACUCUAAUGAGACCGCCGGUGAUAAACCGGAUGAAGGUGGGGAUGACGUCAAAUCAUCAUGCUCUUUAUGACCUGGGCUACACGCGUGCUACAAUGGCUAGUACAAAGAGUUGCAAUACCGUGAGGUGGAGCUAAUCUCAUAAAGCUAGUCUCAGUUCGGAUUGUAGUCUGCAACUCGACUACAUGAAGUUGGAAUCGCUAGUAAUCGCAAAUCAGCAUGUUGCGGUGAAUACGUUCUCGAGUCUU
rnacentral:rRNA from 1 species